rnacentral:rRNA from 1 species
GGUUGAUCCUGCCGGACCCGACUGCUAUCGGAUUGAGAUUUAGCCAUGCGAGUCGAACGUCCCCCUGUUGCGGGGGGCGUGGCGUACGGCUCAGUAACACGUAGUCAACCUGCCCUAGAGACAAGAACAACCCCGGGAAACUGGGAUUAAUUCUUGAUAGGUCAUCUCAUCUGGAAGGAGAGAUGGCUUAAAGGGGUACGCGGGCUUCUUCUGCGUAUCCGCUCUAGGAUGGGACUGCGUCCGAUCAGGCUGUUGGCGGGGUAAUGGCCCACCAAACCUGUAACCGGUACGGGCCUUGAGAGAGGUGGCCCGGAGAUGGACACUGAGAGAAGGGUCCAGGUCCUACGGGGCGCAGCAGGCGCGAAACCUUCGCAAUGCGCGAAAGCGUGACGAGGUUAAUCCGAGUGACUUCCGCUGAGGAGGUCUUUUGUCAGCUGUAAAUAGGCAGGCGAAUAAGGGGAGGGCAAGCCUGGUGUCAGCCGCCGCGGUAAUACCAGCUCCUCGAGUGGUCGGGGCGAUUAUUGGGCCUAAGGCAUCCGUAGCCGGUUCCGUAGGUCCUCUGUUAAAUCCAACCGCUUAACGGUUGACCUGCAAAGGAUACCGCGGGACUAGGAGGCGGGAGAGGCGGACGGUACUCCGCGUGUAGGGGUAAAAUCCUUUGAUCCGCGGAAGACCACCAGUGGCGAAGGCGGUCCGCCAGAACGCGCUCGACGGUGAGGGAUGACAGCUGGGGGAGCGAACCGGAUUACAUACCCGGGUAGUCCCAGCCGUAAACGAUGCUAGCUAGGUG